UACGUAGGGUGCGAGCGUUAAUCGGAUUUACUGGGCGUAAAGCGUGCGCAGGCGGCCCGGUAAGUCAGGUGUGAAAUCCCUGGGCUCAACCUAGGAAUUGCGCUUGUGACUGGCGGGCUCGAGUACGGUAGAGGGGGGUGGAAUUCCUGGUGUAGCAGUGAAAUGCGUAGAGAUCAGGAGGAACACCGAUGGCGAAGGCAGCCCCCUGGGCCUGUACUGACGCUCAUGCACGAAAGCGUGGGGAGCAAACAGG
rnacentral:rRNA from 1 species